rnacentral:rRNA from 1 species
AUUGAACGCUGGCGGCAGGCUUAACACAUGCAAGUCGAGCGAGCGGCGGACGGGUGAGUAAUGUCUGGGAACCUGCCCGAUGGAGGGGGAUAACUACUGGAAACGGUAGCUAAUACCGCAUACCAUCAGAUGUACCCAUAUGGGAUUAGCUAGUAGGUGGGGUAAUGGCUCACCUAGGCGACGAUCACUAGCUGGUCUGAGAGGAUGAACAGCCACACUGGAACUGAGACACGGUCCAGACUCCUACGGGAGGCAGCAGUGGGGAAGAUUGCACAAUGGGCGCAAGCCUGAUGCAGCCAUGCCGCGUGUGUGAAGAAGGCCUUAGGGUUGUAAAGCACUUUCAGCGAGGAGGCGUUACUCGCAGAAGAAGCACCGGCUAACUCCGUGCCAGCAGCCGCGAUAAUUC